GCAAGGAUUGAAGAGGCUUCUUGAAGAUCUCUGUCUUCUCAAGUAGCUUAUUGGUUCAAAAGAGUUCUCAUUGAAGAGGAGGCUUGAAGUUGAGUCCGGGGUUUACACUUGAGCUGGAGAAUUUUCUGGGCUAAGGGCUAAGCUGCACGUGUGGGGGCCUUGGGCCGCAUGUGCGGGGUUGGGGCCACACGUGCAGGAGAUGAGGCCGCACGUACGGAAAAUAGGGGAGGUUCUGGGUUGGUCACUGCAAUAUAUGCAGGUAAAUAAGACCUCAAUCAUAGUAGAUGCAUCCAAGUAUAUAGAGGAGCUGAAGGGAAAAGUAGAGAGGCUAAGCCAAGAUGUUGCAAGUUCACAAAGUUCAAAUAGACAAAACUCAUUGCCAAUGCAAGUUACUGUGGAAACCUUAGAAAAGGGUUUCCUAAUUAAUGUGUUUUCA